rnacentral:tRNA from 1 species
GGGGCUGUGGCUGAGUGGCAGGGCAUCUGCUUGGCGUGCGGAAGGCCCUGGACUCCCGGGUUCAAUCCUCCGCAUCUCCA